UACGAAGGGGGCUAGCGUUGUUCGGAAUCACUGGGCGUAAAGGGCGCGUAGGCGGCCGAUCAAGUCGGGGGUGAAAGCCUGUGGCUCAACCACAGAAUUGCCUUCGAUACUGUUUGGCUUGAGACCGGAAGAGGUAAGUGGAACUGCGAGUGUAGAGGUGAAAUUCGUAGAUAUUCGCAAGAACACCAGUGGCGAAGGCGGCUUACUGGUCCGGUUCUGACGCUGAGGCGCGAAAGCGUGGGUAGCAAACAGG
rnacentral:rRNA from 1 species